CUUAGCUUGCUAAGUUUGAUGGCGACCGGCGCACGGGUGAGUAACACGUAUCCAACUUGCCGAUGACUCGGGGAUAGCCUUUCGAAAGAAAGAUUACUUCCCGAUGGCAUAGUUCUUCCGCAUGGUGGAACUAUUAAAGAAUUUCGGUCAUCGAUGGGGAUGCGUUCCAUUAGGCAGUUGGCGGGGUAACGGCCCACCAAACCUACGAUGGAUAGGGGUUCUGAGAGGAAGGUCCCCCACAUUGGAACUGAGACACGGUCCAAACUCCUACGGGAGGCAGCAGUGAGGAAUAUUGGUCAAUGGACGAGAGUCUGAACCAGCCAAGUAGCGUGAAGGAUGACUGCCCUAUGGGUUGUAAACUUCUUUUAUACGGGAAUAAAGUGAGCCACGUGUGGCUUUUUGUAUGUACCGUAUGAAUAAGGAUCGGCUAACUCCGUGCCAGCAGCCGCGGUAAUACGGAGGAUCCGAGCGUUAUCCGGAUUUAUUGGGUUUAAAGGGAGCGUAGGCGGGUUGUUAAGUCAGUUGUGAAAGUUUGCGGCUCAACCGUAAAAUUGCAGUUGAUACUGGCGACCUUGAGUGCAACAGAGGUAGGCGGAAUUCGUGGUGUAGCGGUGAAAUGCUUAGAUAUCACGAAGAACUCCGAUUG
rnacentral:rRNA from 1 species